GGCAGCAGUGGGGAAUAUUGCACAAUGGGCGCAAGCCUGAUGCAGCCAUGCCGCGUGUAUGAAGAAGGCCUUCGGGUUGUAAAGUACUUUCAGCAGUGAGGAAGGUGGGUAUGUUAAUAGCAUACUCAUUUGACGUUAGCUGCAGAAGAAGCACCGGCUAACUCCGUGCCAGCAGCCGCGGUAAUACGGAGGGUGCGAGCGUUAAUCGGAAUUACUGGGCGUAAAGCGCAUGCAGGUGGUUUGUUAAGUCAGAUGUGAAAGCCCGGGGCUCAACCUCGGAAUUGCAUUUGAAACUGGCAAACUAGAGUACUGUAGAGGGGGUAGAAUUUCAGGUGUAGCGGUGAAAUGCGUAGAGAUCUGAAGGAAUACCGGUGGCGAAGGCGGCCCCCUGGACAGAUACUGACACUCAGAUGCGAAAGCGUGGGGAGCAAACAGGAUUAGAUACCCUGGUAG
rnacentral:rRNA from 1 species